rnacentral:lncRNA from 1 species
GUGGACUGUAGCCACCUAUGAGCCAUGGAAUGUCCUUAUGCUUUUGGAGUCAACUAAGGAGUCCUAAAAAUCUAAUUUGCAGAGAGAGAGAGAGGAUGAAGCAGAGGUUGUAAGAAGAGUAAGAACUACAGACUAAGAUGUGCCUUGGUUUCUGGUAUUGGUACAAGUCAUGCUGCCUAUAUAUCAGCUGCCAGCCUGCCUCCGGGGUAUGUGACACUGAUCAUGCAUGGAACCAGAAGGGACCAGGAGGAAAGUGCUGGUCCAGAAAAGUAGGUUUCUAGAUUCAGCUCUAUACUAACCUUCUGGGUGACUUCAGUUAGUCUGAGGCUCAAUUUCUCCAUUUAUUAAAUUGGGGGUUGGUCUUCACUGGCGGUUUACAUCAAUAAAG